GAUGAACGCUGGCGGCGUGCUUAACACAUGCAAGUCGAGCGAGUGAGUUCUUCGGAACGAUCUAGCGGCGGACGGGUGAGUAACACGUGGGCAACCUGCCUCAUAGAGGGGAAUAGCCUCCCGAAAGGGAGAUUAAUACCGCAUAAAAUUAUCGAGUGGCAUCACAUGAUAAUCAAAGGAGUAAUCCGCUAUGAGAUGGGCCCGCGGCGCAUUAGCUAGUUGGUGAGGUAACGGCCUACCAAGGCGACGAUGCGUAGCCGACCUGAGAGGGUGAUCGGCCACAUUGGGACUGAGACACGGCCCAGAACCCUACGGGAGGCAGCAGUGGGGAAUAUUGCACAAUGGGGGAAACCCUGAUGCAGCAACGCCGCGUGAGUGAUGAAGGUCUUCGGAUUGUAAAGCUCUGUCUUUGGGGACGAUAAUGACGGUACCCAAGGAGGAAGCCACGGCUAACUACGUGCCAGCAGCCGCGGUAA
rnacentral:rRNA from 1 species